rnacentral:rRNA from 1 species
CCUACGGGAGGCAGCAGUGAGGAAUAUUGGUCAAUGGACGCAAGUCUGAACCAGCCAUGCCGCGUGCAGGAUGACGGCUCUAUGAGUUGUAAACUGCUUUUGUACGGGGGUAAACCCAGAUAAGUGUAUCGGGUUGAAAGUAUCGUACGAAUAAGGAUAGGCUAACUCCGUGCCAGCAGACGCGGUAAUACGGAGGGUCCGAGCGUUAUCCGGAUUUAGUGGGUUUAAAGGGUGAGUAGGCGGUUUGUUAAGUUAGAUGUGAAAUGUAGGGGCUCAACCCCGAAACUGCCUCUAAUACUGGUUGACUAGAGAAUAGUAGCGGGAGGCGGAAUGUAUGGUGUAGCGGUGAAAUGCGUAGAGAUCAGACGGAACACCGAUUGCGAAGGCAGCUUACCAAACUAUAUCUGACGUUGAGGCACGAAAGCGUGGGUAGCAAACAGGAUUAGAUACCCUAGGAGUC